UGCAAGGAAUGAUGCACUUAUUGUCGACGGACUGGUCAUGGUAUUUAGGACUGCCGUACACGUGCCUAUGCAUAUUCUUUCAGCCGUGGAUGUGGUGGUCGUGGUCGUGCUCUUUCUGCUAUUGCUGUCACUAUUUCUUCCGAGCCAUCUGUUAGUGAUUCUGCAUCUACUGUUUCUGCUGAAAGUGUUUCAUCUCCGUUGACUCCUGCGAUGCUCCAGCAAAUCGUUCAGGCCCUUUCUGCGGCCGGUAUGUCAAGAUCUGGCAACGGAGAAGGUACUUGAGACGGGUAGGCGGCAUGGUCGUCUGUACGUGCUGGACUUUGAUCCAUCUGACACUCCGGCUCGUUGUUUCUUUUCUCCAUCUUCAUCAGAUAUUUGUUCGGCAAAUAAAUUGUGGAAACUGUGGCACUUUCGCCUGGGUCAUCCACAUUCCGAUCGGUUACUUCAGUUAAUUUCGUCUGGCAUGUUAGGGAAUAUUUCUCUUAAUAAAAAUGAUUUGGAUUAUUCUUGUU